GACAUCCAUUGUUUGGAAAAAUACAGGAAGCUGUUUCCCCGUGGAGCUCCAGCAGUGCUUAGAGGGCUAAAAAACCUUCACCUGACAUCUUAUCAGCAAGGGGAAACCAGAUGUGACAGCGGUACGCACCGUUGUACUCCGAGGCCUCCCUGUUCUACUUGGUGAUGACCCCAGUGACUUCUACAACACCUGCUUCGAUUGUGACACUGAUGAGACCUGGGUAAAAGUAUCUGUCGGGGUGCUGACUGUUCUCCCUGAAGAUCUGCAACUCCUUCCAAAUCAGCUCCACCUUCACCCAAUGUCUACUGCCAUCAUUGUUGAGAGAGGUAUUGUAAUGGAUGAACUCCAGAACCUACCUGAGGCACUUUGCCUUUUGUUUGGAAUGUCAUACGCUUUGCAUUUAGACUACCCUAAAGCCAUGAAAAACACUUUCUGCUUCAUUCAAAGAGUGAUGCUUGGCUUGGGAGAGGACAAACUCCCACCAAAAUUGCAAAGUCUUAAAAAUCUCUUGUUGAGUUAGAAUGCAAAUG